rnacentral:lncRNA from 1 species
CCCGGCUCGGCCACUCUGUUGUGUGACCUUGGGCAAGUCUCUUAACUUCUCUGCGCCUCAGUUACCUCAUCUGUAAAAUAGGGAUUACGACUUUGAGCCCCAGGUGCGACAGAGACUAUGUACCUAACUUGUACCUACUCCAGAGCUUAGAACGGUGCUCGGCACAUAGUAAGCGCUUAACAAGUACCACUAUUGUUAUUAUUAGGACGGGUCUAGUUGGCAGUGGUCCUGGAGAGAUUCAGGCCAGACCUGGGCCACCAUCAGGCUCAUCCUCACCGCCAAAUGGGCGACAAAGUAGCGCUGACUAAACCCUAGUAGGACGGCGUACCAUCCUGGGGAGAGCAGAGGGAAGGGGACUGCACCUUCAGUGACUUCUGACCUUGACUAACGUAUUCCUGUGGCUAAGGGUGAAUCAGGGUCGGGGGAAGGUCCCGGGUGUGGCGCCUUGGAGAGAAAUGGAAAUAAAAAGAACGCCAGAGAGAGAAUAGGGCCAUUUCCGAACCCCCCGGACCACACGGUGGCAGUAAGAACCUUCUGGAAUACAGAGGCAGUGUCAGGCUCAUUUUUGGAAACCAACAAGAAAGCCAUCAUCAGCCACAGCAGUGGCCAGGACCCAGCCCUCAACUGCGAGAUUCUCACCAAGUGGGGACGACAUGUCUCAGUUUCCCAUUUUCUUCUAGUAAUCUUUGGACUCUGAAAGGGUGACGCCCAGGUUGGCAUAGGGCAAGUAGGUGGCCGGGUCAUGUCACAUCCCAGUCAGGCAGGGCGGUACCUGGGACGCACUGGGGCAUUAACUUUUGACCCAUUUUGCAGGGGGUGGUGAGGAAGGAUGGAGAGGGAGAGAAGAAGGGGACUCGGUUUGCUUUCCCUAUCGGGAAGCCAGCGUCUGGACAAGAGAUUAAAAUACUGUAACCCAUCCCUAGAAAAGAAAGAAAAAAGUCCUUUUUUUUUUUUUUGCCAAGGCCAGUGUCGAUGCCUAAAAAAAAAAAAAUUGCUACAAAAAAUGGUGACAGCUUCUGUUUUACCGAGCCCUGAGUGUUUAGUCUUUCACUUUAUUUUUUGUUUUGUUUUGUUUUGUUUUGUUGUUUUGUUUUGUUUUGUUUGCAAAACGGUGGGGCGAGGGUGGUGCGGGGCGGGGUGGGGGGGGCGGGGGGAGAGGGGAGGGAGGGGUUGGGAGGGAGGGUGUUUUUUUGUUGCAAGUUUGUAAGGAAAAAAAAAAUGUUUCAGUUUGUUUCUAUUGAUCUGAACGUUUUUAAUCUUCAUGUGUUUUUGUUUUUGCUUUAUUGAUGCACGGAUGCUUUUGAACAGUAGAGCAAAAUGCUGUACAUGGAAGACAUGCUCUGUUUGUCCUUUAUACAUUUCUGUAGUUAACAGAACACUGUAAUGUGCCUUGGAGCUUAGUAACUUGUAAUAAAUUCAAUUGAUAUUAAUACCCCCUCCCCCUCCCCCCCGAGUAGCCAGUUUAUUUUUCCUCGGUGCUCAGCCGACAGCUCCAAAACACGCUGCCCUCCCUCCCUGUCCCCCGACGCUUUUUUUUUUUUAAAAAAAAAAGAAAAGUCUCCCGGAUAGGCCACAAAAACGCUGUCUGACUUUCCUAAAGCCCUUAAUUGUGGCAUCGGUAAAAAAAAAAAAAAAAGGUGGGUGAUGUUAUCUCACUUAUCUCCAUCUUGGCACUUGGCCUAUUUACAUUUCACCUUUUAAUGUUGCAGUCGCAAUUGCUGACUAAGCAUUUUGAGUUUACUGAUUCUGCAUCUCAUUUCCCCUUUAAAAGGCUCCAGCUGCAAAUGGCAUCAUUAUUACGGCUAUUAUUACCACGGCCACAGUUAUCUUUUUUAUUUCGCAUUCGUUCCUUCAUGACUUGUUCAGUUCGGCAAACCUCGGGGUGGUCUUGACUCCUCUUUGCCUGGUUUGGGUCUGAUUUCUUCUUCGGUCGGGUUUCUUUCCCCCCGUUUCAGCACCGUUUCAGCACCGUUUCAGCUGAUGGCAGAGGCUGGGGUAAACGCAAAAAGCAAACCAAAACAAAAACAAAAAUCAAACAACAACAACAACAAACAGGAGCAUGCGAUUUUACCGAGUUUAGGAAGGGCUGGAGCAAGCGGCUUCCGACCGAUGCCGUUGAGGCUACCAUUUGGAAGAGCAGUUGUCGGCUCUGCUCAGGAAACUUUUUCUUCUGCUUUCCCAUUUUCGAUAAGCGUUUCCAAAGGCGGAAAAGUGAGUCGGUAAAGCAGAUCAGGAGGUGAGGGUGGGGGAGGGACAUUCAGGCGGAGAAAGGGCACUAACAGCACCAAAGAAAAUCCAUUCCUACUGGCACCGAGCAAAUGCGAUUAUUCAUCUAAUUAACUUUUUAGUGACAUUUGCAUGGUGGUGAAACGGACGGGGGGGUGGGGGGAGGAAUGCGGGGGGAGGCAAUUGUGUGUGUGUGUUUGUGUGUUGGGGGGGCCGGUAGUGGAAUGCCUAUUAGGUGAACUGUGAUCAACAGGCAGAGUCAACACAGGGGCCUCUCUCUGGACUGGAGAAGGUAAACAAGCCCAGUUUGAACCUUGUACUUUCCUGGGAGGCAAAUGGGAGGCAGCAUAGAAAGCGGCAACAAACAGAACCAAAGAUCGCUGAAAUCCCAUCAAAAAGUAACACCAACAUACACACACAGACACGAGGAGGGGGGAAGGAGGAGGGGAGGAAAGAUGUAGGAAGCAGACAAGAGCUGUCCUUACCCAGCAUUAAGGCUGCGUUUUUCUUUGAAUCGGAGGCGCGGGGGGGGGAGGAGGGAAGGGGGACGGCUAGCUGGAAAAGGCCUGGGUCGGCGUUGGAACUUGCUGCUAAUAAUACCCUCUUAGUUUCUGUUCCUGCUAUAGCCGGGCUAAUUGAAAUGGAAGAGAUCCUAGCUUCUUGCAGGGGAGGACUCUACGGGCCUACGGAUCCGUGUGGCGUUGGGGAAGUCCAGGUUCUGUCUCCUAAUACUUUUGUCGAUUCCUUGCCCAGCUCCGAGGCUCUUCUCCAAUAUAAAUAGAUAUUUGUGUUGAUGUAUAUUCUCUGAUACUGUGUCCUUGGGUCUUUCUUUAUCUGCUGCCAAGUGUUGUACUGGGGCUUAUGAGUCACAUAACCUAUUUUAGUCCUCAGAGGUAAUUAACUUUGGGUGAUAAUGCAUGGCAGACGGUGUGAAGAGUUAAUUCCAACCUCCAUUUGCUCCGAUACCCAUGGCACAUUUUAUUUAAAGGCCUGGAUUGCUUUUUUUGUUUGGGGUGGGUUUUUUUUUUGAAGCUCAUUAAUAAAAAACAUAAACACUUUUAGGCUGGAGCGGACUGAGAUGUUUUGUUCUUUUGGUUAUUUUUUUCCUCCUACUUACAUACUUCAGACUGUAAGCCCGCUCUGGGCAGGGAACAUGUCUGUUAUAUGGUUAUAGUGCACUCUCCCAAGCGCUUAGUACAGUGCUCUGCACACAGUAAGCGCUCAAUAAGCGAUCGAUGGCCUUUGAUUAAAAUUUGGAUCACGAAAGAGCAGAGAAAGCUUUUGCCACUCGGAAGUGGCUGAGGUGCACAGGCCUAGGAGGAGUAGCAUUUUAUGGGUGUAUAUUUUAAGCACCGUUGAAUGAAGGAGAUAGAUCGUGGUGAAUGAAUUUGAGCAUUCAGAUUGUGAUUGGGUGUGGUCAGAUCGGGGCUCCCCCGCCCCUACCAUAGAAGUCUAGGGACUCGCAGACAUCUUUACCCGAAUGUAGUGCCAUUUUGCAUCCAGGCCAAAGGGUUCCCCAACUGCAGAGUGGAACCUGGCUGAUGUGGGGGUGGGAUGGAAUAAAAUUCCUCAAUAAUGGGCUGUGGCCACAGAGACGACCCGGAGGGGGGUGGUGGGAAAGGGGUGGCGGGGGGGGGGGGCUUGGGGGGAGGGGGCUCUGACUCUGGACAGCUGCUUGUUGAUGGGGAGGGAAAGUAGCUCUUUGGAGAAGAGUUUGGGAAGCAGCGUGGCCUAGUGGGAAGAGCCUGGGCCCGGGAGUCAGAGGCCCUGGGUUCUAAUUCCGGCUAUGCCGCUUACCUGCUCUGUGACCUUAGGCAAGCCACUUAAUAAUAAUAAUAAUAAUAAUAAUGAUGAUGGUCUUUGUUGAGCGCUUACUAUGGGCCAAGCACUGUUUUAAGCAUUGGGGUAGGUAAAAAGCAAUCAGGUUGUCCCACGGGGGGCUCACAGUCUGAUUCCCCAUGUUACAGAUGAGGUCACUGAGGUACAGAGAAGUGACUUGCCCAAAGUCACCCUGCUACCAAGUGGCGGAGGUGGGAUUAGAACCGCCGACUUCCGACUCCCAAACCCGUGCUCUUUCCACUAAGCCAGGUUGCUCCCUGCCCCCUCAGUUUCCUCAUCUGUAAAUUGGGGAUGAAGUUACUGGUUCUCCCGCUUACUUUGACGGCGAGCCUGAGGGGGACAGGGACUAGGUCGAAUUGUCUCGUCUCUAAGGUAGUGAAGCUCAGUUCCUGGGAGUUCCUACAGAAAGAGAAAGAAAACCCUCUGCCAAAAGAAUGCACUCCAUCGUGACUAUUCUCUACAGAGCGUGAAUAUGUAGUUCUUCGUCCCAGAAGACGCCCUUGACAGGGAAAUUCACCUAGCGCGCCUAUAUCCCUGCAUGUCGAUUUACUCGGAGUAGAGGGUUCGGACUCUGAAGUCAGCGUAUUUGGGAUUUGGAAAGUUCCACCGCGGUGAAUUUAAUGUAGUUAGAGGGAGCAUUGAUAAGGACUCCGUCGCUCUUUCUGGGGUUAAUAUUAAAACCGCGAUUAUUCUAACGAUCAAAUCUCAUCAAACCCGGCCUGCUCUGUUUAUACUGACAAAUGAGGAAUUCUUGGUAUGGAUCGAACAGGCCAGGUCCGAUCAGACUCGGAAGAGGAAAGGGUGGGGCUCGGUUGGGGGGGAGGGGGUAGCCCACAGACUAGAAAGAAAUUGUAAUGCUGCAGUUAAUUAAAGUUAACCGGAGCUAGAGGGCAUUUGUUGUAUGGAGGAUUUUUUUCUUCUUCUUCUUUUUUUGUAACAUGUGACCUUUCCCUUUGCUCUGACCCAUUCAGCAGCCUGGGCUGGGCGUAUUAACCAGUCUUUCUUUGAUCCCACUGCAUAGCUUCCCCGCCCUCCUCCCUCCCUCUGCCUUCCCCCUUCCUCCCUCCCCCCCCCCCCCCCCCCGCAAGUUUUACACAGAUGACAAAUAGGCAGGUUUUUUUUUUUUCCUUUUCCUUUGGCACGUGGAGAUUCUUCUUGGUGGCAGAAAGAAGAGAUUCAGGGAAGUUACACCUGGAGCGUAACCUUCCUCCACAUUUUCUCCUCCGUAUUGCUUCUGGCUCCUUCUUCCCCACGUCCCCCCAGCCAAGAUGACUAGUUUUCCAAGGGUCAAAAAAAAAAUACAUAUAUAAGAUGACUAGUUUUCCAAGGGUCAAAAAAAAAAGAGAGAGAGGUGGAUCCCAGUGACGUCAAUCAAUUCUGUGCCCUCACUUAUUUGUUCAGCUGGCCCAGGUGGUUUGCUUUCUUGAGGGUGGGGGUUGGCGGGGGGACCUUCAAUUAAAUGGCUUUUUAAGAAGAGAUGAUUUGGGGCCAUUUCUUUUAAGCGACCUUGGAUCCUCCCCCCCUCAUCCCCCCAACGAGAGUAAUUAAUUGCAGCAGUCAAAGGAAGAGAUAAAAGUAAGCUUAAAUGCAUCCCUAUAAAUCAACUACGCGGGCACAUAUACGCGCACACUCUAGAUGCAGAUUUACUGACCACCGCCUCUGUGCUGCCAGAGGCCCGCUCGAACAUGGAAUUGGACGUUAGUGCUAGAGAGAUAUGGGCCUCAGGGGAUCCACGUGGGGGGACAAGCACGGGUAGCU